AACUGCCACUAGUGAUGCCUCGUACUACUACUAUAUAUCUCGACGGGUCUUCCACUACUACCACUAACAACAACUGAUGGUCUUGCUCGGGCUUGAGUUGCUACUAUCGCAAUACAAGUUGGUUUAGACAAUUGGCGAUGAUGACACAACCCUUGCUCCCGAUCGACGGACUCCAUUGCAAUCCCCGAUACCCCCCCACUUCCCAGGACCAGCCGCUGCUCUAUACUAUAACACUAAACAACUAGGCAUGGACUAGGUCGGCAACUAUAGAACGAGCUUGGUGGUGCGCCACUACUAUCAACUACUGGUACUCCAAUAAUACGGGCUAGGUGUGGCUCUACUUAAAACAGCAUGGGCCGGGCUAGUUGGUACUACUAUCGCAACGACGAUCGUCGUUACUACUAUACUUGAACGCCACUAGGUGAACACCAUGCCUCCUACUAUACUCCAAGCAGGGUAGAUGAUGGUAGGUGGUGGUACUAUCAACUGCCGUAUCGCUACUAGACGACAGCAACCACAAAGUAUAAGCCUAUAUGCACAUGAGGUUACUAUGUACUUACUCCAACUAGCAACUGGCUAAUGCGAUCAUGGCUGCCGCAGCUGGUACUACUAUAUCGAGUGCAAUUGUUCAGUGGGCUGGCAACUUGAGGUUCAGUGCGUAUACGAGUGGGUCCGGGCAUCUUCGUUUACUAGUUGUUGAGGGACGUUGAGGGAGCUAGUUCAGUAACAUGGUGGGUUUGGUCAGGGUUGUUGGCAUGGUCGUAUAUGGAGCAUGGAUAAGCAAUGAGUAAACAGUCGGAUCUCACUCGUUAACUGGCUGACACUGAUAGGCUACUAGUAGUCUGCCUUCGGAGCACUCACUAAACGGAACGAAGCUCGAGAGUCAACCCGGCAUGUGCAGUAAAUAAGCGGCACGUAUGGGUAGUGGGGCAGUACGAAACAACUGAGUGUUCAUUGAAUGUGAAAGUAGUAGCUAGUGAGGGGGGGAGUCGAAGCUGCUACAGUUGCAGCAUCAAGUUCAUCUGGGGCCAGCUUCAAGGAACGCGUGGAGAGCCACCAAGUAAGUUGUUACGACCAAUUGAGGAGAGAAGGAGAGCAGCCAAGUGAGCUUCAACCAAUACGAACAUGUUUCACAACCAAAGACGACUGACUACUAUUCUUAUAAACUCUACUAACUAGCGAUUUACUGUAACAUCGUUGGACUGAGUUCGGAUGUCCCCAGCGACUGUGCAAUGGAAGUUUUGGUGUUCAAGUAGUAAACCCGUACCUCGUAAGGGUCUUUAUUGCCUACCCUUAUGACUAAAGCACCUUCUAUAGUAGUAAUCGUAGUCCGUGCUCUCUAGUGUUAUACCUCUCUCCAUCCAGCAGUACCUCGUAUUCUACUGUGUGGGAGAACACCCUUAACUCGAACGUUAGUGUCUUGCUAGUCAGUCUCUCUGGGUUCUCUUGUUUGCCGGCAUACUAUCCUCCAAAGCUUCUUAGCCUUAGUGUGUGCUAACCAGGCUACUAUAAGAAAAAAAUCAAGCCUUGUAGUAAGAC
rnacentral:lncRNA from 1 species